UUGUGCAAAAUAAGUCUAAGUAGAGUAAUACAUUAAAAGGGGCUAUUUGAAUAAUACAAACGCAAGAAAGCAAAGAAGUCCAUCUGCUCUUAUUUCUACUUUUGGUCCAGGCGCUUGGAUGGCCCGAUUCUCUCAACAGUCCGUUAGCCCACUUCUAUACCCGGUCCAGCCCUUUCAGCCACCAAAACGACACCGUUCCAGUCCCAAUUAAUCUCUGCCGUCCAUCAGAUCUCAUCUGACGACAGAGACUGUCCUAAAAUACCUCAUUUCUAACCUAAUACACUCUCCUUCCUCUCUAUCAUCAGCCGCCACCAAUCACCCCACCUGAAAUCGCUCAGUUGAGCGUGCCACCCUAAAACCGCCGUUGACCACCGUUGACCAUCGCCGGAGUCAGCCAAACGACGUGAAACCACCAUGUUUCUUCUCCUCUUUUUCUCCUCUACAUCAUCAUAAUAAGAUCGUACUCCCAUUUCGACCCCGCCAUUACCCCAUAGAAAUACUUAAUCCAUUCGGCCCUGCUCCGAUUACCUUGACCUUUAAUACCGGCAUACCUCUACACAUAUAUCAUUAGAUAGAUCUUAAAAAGAUCUAUUCAAUGAUAUAAGUAUUAGGGUAUUUCAAAGUUCAAGUCCUGGCCAAAUCUUGCUGAAACUACUUCUGGCAUUUCACUUAGAGGUCAAAAGGCCCAUUAGGUGUGAAAGUUCAGGAGACGAGUUUGGGUAUGGGCCUGGUGGUCAGAUGGCCCAAGUCUUUUGGUACCCGUGAGGUUAAUAAAGAAGGUUGAGUUUAGGAAUUAAACUUGAGAAAUAUUUUCUGUAACUGUUUUAGAAAGUUCUAGGAGAUAGGAAAGGGUUAAACAUCAAUAAAGAAGAUAUAGAGGUUGGGGUUUGAAAGAGUAAUAAACAGAAUUUAGAAGGAGUAAAAAGAAAAGGAAAUAACUAAAAAUACAGCCUCUAUUCUGUUACAAAAUAGUACCCCCCCCCCCCCCAACACCACACACACACACACACUUUAGAGAUUAUCAUUUAUUCACUCUCACUCAGCUCACACAGAAUUCAUACAUACUCAUUCCUUCCUUCACACGCACCUUCUUAAUUUGCAAAGGCUGAAAAUAAUUUUUCUGCAUUCAAAUUUGAAUUCCAGAUUUGAAAAGAAAAAAAAAACUCCAAAAAAAUAACAAACAAAAACAAUUCAGAAAAAGGCUGUAGUUGGUUCUGUGGUUUCAAAAAUAAUUUCCUCUGCAUUUCUGGGUUUUGAAGACAUUUCAGCUUGGAAUUUCUGUUGUUUGUUGCUGUUCUUUGUCAAUUAGUAGCUGAGCUUCAGUUUGUAGCUAUGUUUAGCCUUUAUUUGGCCAUUUAAGAUCUACUUGCUGCUUGCACCCAAGGGUGUGGCCUAGUGGUCAAUGAAGUGGGUGAGAAUCUUGAGGUCUCAGUUCAAAUCCCAGCUUCUUCCCAUCUAUCCAAGCCUUGGUGGAUAGAGUUACCUGUUGCUGGUGUGAGGUGGGAGGUAUCCCGUGGAAUUAGUCGAGGUGCGCGCAAGCUGGCCCGGACACCACGGUUAUAAAAAAAAAAAAGAUCUACUUGCUUCUUUUAAGGUACUGAUUUCCGCCACCUCCGAUGUAACAGUUGUUUGAAUUUUAUAUUACCAUCAAGCUUGUAAUCAUAGGCUACUUAUGUGUUCUGUAAAUGUUCCUUGGGGUACUUAGUCAUUUAUGGGUUUGAUAAAUACUCUCUUCUAUGUCUAUUUGCCAGAUUAGAACUAGAUUGGAGUUUUAGUGUACAAAACUAGUAUAAAUAUGAGCAUAAAUUGUUCAUGCUAUAAUGAUCAUGAAGGCAUUUUUAAAUUAUAAUGGUUGACCAGUUAAAAUAGAGCUAGAAUUGAGAUUUUCAGGUUGAAUCGAAGCUGCAGAAAUGUCCAUUUCCAGCAGUAAUGUAUUUGUCAGUGUUAGAUAGAUCUGGAAAUUUGAAGAAGAAAUAUGAAAAAGUUCGUUUGUAUAAUGAUUUGAUCUCAGUUAUGUUGAUAUUUAGUCUAUGGUUCAAAGACUAUUUUUCUGUAUAGUUUGUGUAAAAUGAGUUUAAAACAGGUUUGUAAUAACUCCGUUCAUCAAUGAUUGUAACUAAUCAGUAGGUCAAUAAAUGUUGUUCAUAUUAUUUUCGUUUUGUGUUAA